rnacentral:rRNA from 1 species
AUUGAACGCUGGCAGCAUGCCUUACGCAUGCAAGUCGAACGGUAACAGGUCUUCGGAUGCUGACGAGUGGCGAACGGGUGAGUAAUACAUCGGAACGUGCCUAGUAGUGGGGGAUAACUACUCGAAAGAGUGGCUAAUACCGCAUGAGAUCUACGGAUGAAAGCAGGGGAUCGCAAGACCUUGUGCUACUAGAGCGGCCGAUGGCAGAUUAGGUAGUUGGUGGGAUAAAAGCUUACCAAGCCGACGAUCUGUAGCUGGUCUGAGAGGACGAUCAGCCACACUGGGACUGAGACACGGCCCAGACUCCUACGGGAGGCAGCAGUGGGGAAUUUUGGACAAUGGGCGAAAGCCUGAUCCAGCAAUGCCGCGUGCAGGAUGAAGGCCUUCGGGUUGUAAACUGCUUUUGUACGGAACGAAAAGCCCCGGGUUAAUACCCUGGGGUCAUGACGGUACCGUAAGAAUAAGCACCGGCUAACUACGAGCCAGCCGCCGCGGUAA